AACGAACGCUGGCGGCGUGCCUAGCACAUGCAAGUCGAGCGCGAAAAGGGCAACCUGAGUAGAGCGGCGCACGGGUGCGUAACACGUGGGUAAUCUGCCUUAGAGUCGAGGAUAACCUUCCGAAAGGUUGGCUAAUACUCGGUAAGCUUACGGUGUCUUCGGACGCUGUGGGAAAAGUAGGCCUCUGUUUACAAGCUUACGCUCUGAGAUGAGCCCGCGGCCCAUCAGCUAGUUGGCGGGGUAACGGCCCACCAAGGCAACGACGGGUAGCUGGUCUGAGAGGACGAUCAGCCACACUGGAACUGAGACACGGUCCAGACUCCUACGGGAGGCAGCAGUGGGGAAUUUUCCACAAUGGGCGAAAGCCUGAUGGAGCAACGCCGCGUGUGUGAUGAAGGUUUUCGGAUCGUAAAGCACUUUCGACCGGGACGAAAAACCUCUGGCUAACAUCCAGGGGCCUGACGGUACCGGGAGAAGAAGCACCGGCUAACUCUGUGCCAGCCGCCGCAGUAAAAC
rnacentral:rRNA from 1 species